CUAAUUAAUUUAAAAUUUAAUAAUAGGUCUAUUAGUAAAAAUUUUUUAUUAUUGAAUUUAAAUGUUAUUUUAAAUCUAAGUCCAACUAGCAAAAACUAGACUAUUUGUUUCUUCGCCUGUUUAACAAAAACAACUCUUUUAUUUACCAUUCAAGGUAGGACCUGCUCACUGAUGAUUAAAAGCCGCAGUAUCAUGACUGUGCUAAGGUAGCAUAAUAAUUAGUUGUUUAAUUGACCACUGGAAUGAAGGGUCUGACGAAAGAAUAAUUUUCUUCUUGUUUUUUGAAAUUAAUAAGUAAAUAAAAAAGUUUAUCUACCUUAGAUAGACGAUAAGACCCUAAAACCUUUUAAGAGUGUUACUCUUUUUGCUGGGGAGGCAAAUUAUAUCUCAUAAUUUAAUAUAACAAAAUGAAUGGGUAUACUCAACUUAAAUUAAACCCAAAAAGGUACUUUAGGGAUAACAGCAUAAUUUUUAUAUAGAGUUACUUAUCGACAUAAAAGAUUAUGACCUCGAUGUUGAAUUGAUAUUACUUUUCUAAGCAGCCCUAGAAAUUCGUAGGUCUGUUCGACCUUUAAUUUAUCACAUGAUUUGAGUUCAAACCGGCGUGAGCCAGGUUGGAUUCUAUCUUCUAGUAAACUUGUAUUUAUCUAGUACGUAAGGACUUUUAAAUAAUAA
rnacentral:rRNA from 1 species